rnacentral:rRNA from 1 species
AGCAGCCGCGGUAAUUCCAGCUCCAAUAGCGUAUAUUAAAGUUGUUGCAGUUAAAAAGCUCGUAGUUGAAUUUCGGGAUUGACACAUCGGUCGUGCCUUAAGGGGUAUGAACUGGUGUAGUCAAUUUCUCACCUUCUGGAGAACCGCGAUGCCCUUAAUUGGGUGUCGCGGGGAACCAGGACCUUUACUUUGAAAAAUUAGAGUGUUUAAAGCAGGCAUUUUGCUUGAAUACAUUAGCAUGGAAUAAUAAAAUAGGACGGCAUGAUUCUAUUUUGUUGGUUUCUAGGAUCACCGUAAUGAUUAAUAGGGAUAGUUGGGGGCAUUAGUAUUCAAUUGUCAGAGGUGAAAUUCUUGGGUUUAUUGAAGACUAACUACUGCGAAAGCAUUUGCCAAGGAUGUUUUCAUUAAUCAAGAACGAAAGUUAGGGGAUCGAGGACGAUCAGAUACCGU